rnacentral:rRNA from 1 species
UAUGUGAUCGUCUCUCGCAUAUCAAUAAGCGGAGGAAAAGAAACUAACAAGGAUUCCCCUAGUAACGGCGAGUGAAGCGGGAAGAGCUCAAAUUUGAAAUCUUAAAGGGUUUCCCUUUACUGAAUUGUAGUUUAAAGAAGUGUUUUCUGUUGAGGUUUUGGUAAAAGUUCUUUGGAAUAGGACAUCAUAGAGGGUGAGAAUCCCGUAUUUGACCUUUACUUUCAACUUUGUGAUACACUUUCAAAGAGUCGGAUUGUUUGGGAAUGCAGUCCAAAAUGGGUGGUAAAUUUCAUCUAAAGCUAAAUAUUGGCGAGAGACCGAUAGCGAACAAGUACCGUGAGGGAAAGAUGAAAAGAACUUUGAAAAGAGAGUUAAACAGUACGUGAAAUUGUCAAAAGGGAAGCGUUUGACACCAGGUGUUGUUUUUCUGAAAAUCAAUUAAAGAACUGUUUAUGCUAAGUUGUUUAGACUUUAUCAGCUAACUGUUUAGUUUUGAGCUUUUCUUUAAUGCACUUUUCAGUUAACAAGUCAACAUCAAUUCCUUUUGCUGUAAAAAAGCUUGAGGAAGGUGGCUUGAGAUUCGUCUUAAGUGUUUAUAGCCUCUUGCCUAUGCAGUCGGAGAGAUUGAGGUCUGCAGCGUAGAUCCUUCGGGGCUAAAUGCAUUUGUGCUAAGUUAUAGCAUUUUAUAGACAACUUGUUGACUAUGAUUUGUCUUGUAGCUUACUCGCUUAUGUUAUUUUACCUACGCUUAGGAUGUUGAAGACUCUACAGAGAUA